GUAGGGAAUAUUGGACAAUGGGGGGAACCCUGAUCCAGCCAUGCCGCGUGGAGGAAGACUGCCCUCUGGGUUGUAAACUCCUUUUAUAUGGGAAGAACCGUCCUCAUUAAUGAGUGACCUGACGGUACCAUAGGAAUAAGCACCGGCUAACUCCGUGCCAGCAGCCGCGGUAAUACGGAGGGUGCAAGCGUUAUCCGGAUUCACUGGGUUUAAAGGGUGCGUAGGCGGAUAAAUAAGUCAGUGGUGAAAUCACCGGGCUCAACCUGUUAACUGCCAUUGAUAAUGUGUAUCUUGAAUAUGAGAGAGGUAGGCGGAAUGUUGCAUGUAGCGGUGAAAUGCUUAGAUAUGCUACGGAACACCGAUUGCGAAGGCAGCUUACUAUUUCGUAAUUGACGCUGAGGCACGAAAGCGUGGGUAGCGAACAGGAUUAGAAACCCGAGUAGUCC
rnacentral:rRNA from 1 species